UACGAAGGGGGCUAGCGUUGCUCGGAAUCACUGGGCGUAAAGCGCACGUAGGCGGCUUUUUAAGUCAGGGGUGAAAUCCUGGAGCUCAACUCCAGAACUGCCUUUGAUACUGAGAAGCUUGAGUUCGGGAGAGGUGAGUGGAACUGCGAGUGUAGAGGUGAAAUUCGUAGAUAUUCGCAAGAACACCAGUGGCGAAGGCGGCUCACUGGCCCGAUACUGACGCUGAGGUGCGAAAGUGCGGGGAGCAAACAGG
rnacentral:rRNA from 1 species